AACGAACGCUGGCGGCAUGCCUAACACAUGCAAGUCGAACGAGACCUUCGGGUCUAGUGGCGCACGGGUGCGUAACGCGUGGGAACCUGCCCUUAGGUUCGGAAUAACUCCCCGAAAGGGGUGCUAAUACCGGAUAAUGUCUUCGGACCAAAGAUUUAUCGCCUUUGGAUGGGCCCGCGUUGGAUUAGCUAGUUGGUAGGGUAAAAGCCUACCAAGGCGACGAUCCAUAGCUGGUCUGAGAGGAUGAUCAGCCACACUGGGACGGAGACACGGCCCAGACUCCUACGGGAGGCAGCAGUGGGGAAUAUUGGAAAAUGGGCGAAAGUCUGAUCCAGCAAUGCCGCGUGAGUGAUGAAGGCCUUAGGGUUGUAAAGCUCUUUUAACCGGGAUGAUAAUGACAGUACCGGGAGAAUAAGCUCCGGCUAACUCCGUG
rnacentral:rRNA from 1 species